rnacentral:rRNA from 1 species
UACGUAGGGGGCAAGCGUUGUCCGGAUUUAUUGGGCGUAAAGAGCGUGUAGGCGGCCAGGUAGGUCUGCUGUGAAAACUCGAGGCUUAACCUCGAGCUGUCGGUGGAAACUGUCUGGCUAGAGUCCGGAAGAGGAGAAUGGAAUUCCUGGUGUAGCGGUGAAAUGCGCAGAUAUCAGGAAGAACACCCGUGGCGAAGGCGGUUCUCUGGGACGGUACUGACGCUGAGACGCGAAAGCGUGGGGAGCGAACAGG